UACAGAGGUCUCAAGCGUUGUUCGGAUUCAUUGGGCGUAAAGGGUGCGUAGGCGGCGCGGUAAGUCGGGUGCGAAAUCUCGGAGCUUAACUCCGAAACUGCAUUCGAUACUGCCGUGCUUGAGGACUGGAGAGGAGACUGGAAUUUACGGUGUAGCGGUGAAAUGCGUAGAUAUCGUAAGGAAGACCAGUGGCGAAGGCGGGUCUCUGGACAGUUCCUGACACUGAGGCACGAAGGUCAGGGGAGCAAACGGG
rnacentral:rRNA from 1 species